ACGAGAGUGGACCGCAGAGAGGAGGGAAGUGAACCGCGACAUAUAUCAAAGUGAACCUCAUUACAAUCUUUGUUGUUGCGCUAAUUUUUUUCGCACUUUCAUGUUGGGCGCAAGUGAACAUCAUCACUUUCAACAGAGAACCACAUCCGAGGACCAAACGCACUGCAGGUGUUUCACUGAUUUUGUGAACCACUAAGGAAGUUUUUAUACCUAAUCACGUGAGGUAACAACGUGAGUUUUCAAACAACACACAUCUAUCUGAUUGUUUUACACAGCCACACACAACGGACCGCAUAAAACAAAACAAAAGUACUGCACGAUCGAGCUAACCAAACUGUGCUCACACAUUUUGUUUUUGCGCAUGUCUAUGGCCGCCGAUGAUGCUCAUAGACACACAUACUCCUUUCAUUGUUUUUAUGGUCACACACAUACAUGCAUACACGUGAAAUUAGGCACUAGCAGCCAGCAUAACUGCAUUUGAACAAAAAAUGACCUUCAACAGAACAUGCAUAUGCGGCGGCUUCCUGUGCACUCGCUUACUGCACGCGCACGCGCAGCAAACUGCAGUGCACCCUGAGCCUGACUAUUGUGCGCCACCGAUGAACUCUGCACAACUUCGUUGCCGGCGGGACAUGGUCCUGGCAGUCCACCCGCCCGCUCGAGGAGGUCCACCACACAACGAACCGAGCGUUUCUCGUCGGUGGACCUUGCGUCGUUGGCCGGUGGACUCCAGCCACACAAAAAACCCAGCACGCCACUUGUAGCCUUCAGAUCAUUGGAGCUGCACCUACCAGCUAUGUGGUCAGCUCGGUGACAACAAAGGAGCACCGGGGGUAGGCACCCAUAGGUUCUUGGUUAAGCUCGGGCAGAAAGGCACGACACUAUUUACCUGCCAGCGGAUGCGCUCGAAUUCGCCGUGCUCAUCGAAGACCUCUGCAUUGAGUGGAUGAAGGGGGAACCACCUGCACCCUUCCCCCUUCCAUCCCGCCUCGGUUUGGUUGAAAGCCGACCUCACGGCAGGGAGGGACGACUUGCAGCCCGUGGAAUCUCAUCGGAGAGGACGGCCUGCAGCCUGCUGGAUCGAGGAAGGGAGAUGAAUGGAGGGCCACGGAGGCCGAGAUGGUCAAGGGGUCGAGGCUGUGCGACGAGCAUCGCAGUGGUCGGCUUCUUCGGUGCGCAGGGGAGAUCUAAAUUCUUAGCCGGAUUCAACAGGGGAGAGGACUCUGAUGGGGUGAGUUGGACGAGGGGCACAAGGGAAGAGAGGAGGGGCGGCGAUGCAUAGUGGGGCGGCCGCGUGGUGGGAUCUGGUGGGGAUGCGGCAAUGCGGUGGGGGAGGGGAGGCGCGGCGGCUGGGAGCGAGAGGAUGCACGGUGGCCGUCGGGCUUGGCUGGGGGAGUGGCGGUGCUGUGGGGUUAGGGAGGAAGGCGCGACGCCGGAAGUGAGAGGAGGCACGGAGGCUAGCAGUGGAUGGGGUUUGACCGGGGAAGAAGGUGGGUGCGGGUGGAUAAGGUUCGACGUGGGGCUUGGGGUGUUUUUUCUUUAGCUUUUGC
rnacentral:lncRNA from 1 species